rnacentral:lncRNA from 1 species
GUAAAUUUCAAUGACAGAUUGAUGAGACAAAUAUAUAAGAUCGCGCAUUUCCUUCUUGCAGCGUUAGCACUCGCGUUUGAGCUAUUUGUAGCAACGUACACACGAUUUUUCUGUUCAUAUGUCGAUACCGAAACUGAAACUGAGGUGGUGGUGGCGUGGUGGCGCUUGUGUCGCCAACAUCGCCCUGUCGCUUUUUUUUUUUCUUUCCAAACAUGGCGGCGUCCUGCAUUUCGUGUGUGCGUCGUAGUGUCGAGUUUUGUUCAUGCGGUCGACCUUUACUGCGUUACCUCGCAUUGUGUGUUGUGUGUUGCGGUUACUGACGUAAGCGCAAGUUCUUCACUGAGUAUGAUCCGCGGCACCGUGCAAAUAGUCACCAGAUGCCGGCCGUGCGACUCCGUUCUCUGCGACUCCUUUGUUCGGUGUGAUCGAGGGACGUGAUUCUUAGCUUUGGAGACCCUCUUUACACCGUGCCCUCUUCAAACGUUUCCACACAUCAGUGAGUAGCAGCACCGCAAUCUUUACUCGACGGCACGCUCCGUGGGCCUAGAAAAUGCCUUGACGUUCGAGCACUUCGGGAGCUAUACCGGCGGACAGCCGGAUGCGGGUAGCUUGGCCGUUCCUUGCUCUGCGCAUCGCUUGAAAACCGGCGGUCAUCCUGCAGUGCACGCUGCCAGCGUGCUUUCUUGCCAGAGCCACCUCCCCUGCUGGUGAUGACCAUAUGCAGCCAAUGCUGAUGUGAACCCGAGGGAUUAACAAAUGCAGAUCUGCAAAGGAGCUGUCCUGAGGCACCAUGCUUACUCAAGUCAUGCAGCGAGAGUCAGCAUGCCUGGAAAAGUACAUCAAAGCACACCCCAUCUGGCUGACUGCACUACCUCAAGGAAACUGCCUUUCUCCUAUCUGCAAGUUCCUAAGAAGUUACUAUAUGAAGCAAGCCAGCAGGGCGUACGUGUUAGGCAUGGCAGCAUGGAGAACAAAUAAACAUGAGUAUUUGGUGCAAGAUGCAUUCAUUGAUUUUGUGCUGCAUCAACAUGUGGCUGCAUGCUUGGCCACGUGUAGACACAGCAAGUAAACUCGUUAACCUCAAUGGUAAAAGGUUAUCUAUAAUCACGUUAAGAAGCACGAUGUCUUAUUUUUGUAAAUAAUUGCAUAGCUCGACUUUGACUCAGGCAUCCAACACCCAUCGUUAUCUACCCAUU